rnacentral:rRNA from 1 species
GCGGCGCGCUUAACGCAUGCAAGUCGAGCGAUGAGGCUCCCUUCGGGGAGUACAUCAGCGGCAGACGGGUGAGUAACACGUAGAUAACCUGCCCUCAAGACGGGGACAACCGGUGGAAACAGCGGCUAAUACCCGAUAUGCUCACAGGAUCGGGAGAUCGAGUGAGGAAAGCGCCCCUUCGGGGGAGAGUGUUUGAGGAGGGAUCUGCGGCCCAUCAGCUAGUUGGUGAGGUAACGGCUCACCAAGGCGAAGACGGGUAGGGGGUGUGAGAGCAUGGCCCCCCACAAUGGGACUGAGACACGGCCCAUACUCCUACGGGAGGCAGCAGCGGGGAAUAUUGCGCAAUGGACGGAAGUCAGACGCAGCGACGCCGCGUGGGUGAGGAAGGCCUUCGGGUUGUAAAGCCCUUUUCAGGGGAGCGAGAAAGGACGGUACCCUUGGAAUAAGCGUCGGCUAACUACGUGCCAGCAGCCGCGGUAAGACGUAGGACGCAAGCGUUAUCCGGAUUUACUGGGCGUAAAGCGCCUGUAGGCGGUCAAGUAAGUCGGAUGUGAAAGCCCCGUGCUCAACGCGGGGAAGCCAUUCGAUACUGCGUGACUAGAGAACGGCAGAGGGAAACGGAAUUUCUGGUGUAGCGGUAAAAUGCGCAGAGAUCAGAAAGAACACCGAUGGCGAAGGCAGUUUCCUAGGCCGCAUCUGACGCUGAGAGGCGAAAGCUAGGGGAGCAAACAGGAUUAGAGACCCUGGUAGUCCUAGCUGUAAACGAUGGAUGCUAGGUGUGGGCCGGAAAGGUCCGUGCCGUAGUUAACGCGAUAAGCAUCCCGCCUGGGGAGUACGGCCGCAAGGCUAAAACUCAAACGAAUUGACGGGGACCCGCACAAGCAGCGGAGCGUGUGGUUUAAUUCGAUGCUACACGCAGAACCUUACCUGGGCUUGACAUGUAGGUGGUAGUGAAGUGAGAGCGGAGCGACCCUUCGGGGAGCCUACACAGGUGCUGCAUGGCUGUCGUCAGCUCGUGCCGUGAGGUGUCGGGUUAAGUCCCGUAACGAGCGCAACCCUUGUCCUUAGUUACAAGUGUCUAAGGAGACUGCCG